CUUUAAUAAAGCGGUUUAUAUUUUCAAAUACAAUAUUUAAUAAACUAUAUUAAAAAUAUAUACAAAAUAGUUGUAAGAAUCGGGGCUCCUGUGAGUACGUAAAUGAAAUACGCUUACAUCAUUUACUUCUCUUCCCUUUUGUUUGUGAGUCCAGAGACGAUGGAAGAGUUUGGAAAGUUGUCAGCUUAUCUUUGCAUAUAUUUGUCCAAUGAUAAUUAAGCACAAAUUGUUUCAAAAAUCUUUCAAAAAUUGUUAUAAAGAUUUUUAUUGGUGCUAAGGGCUGUAAUUUAGCAAAGUCUUACACCUGAAACCAACCAAAGGGUCUUAGAGUGUGAACUGUUGUCUUAGACCCGGAGAAGUCUCCAAAGAAUGACCAUCCGAGGCAUUCAGCUGGCGUAAGAGGAGUGACUCAUUUGUUCUUCUUUUUUUUUUUUUUGGCUGUCUACAGAGAAGGAGGAUAUAGGGGCCCUUAAGAGAAAAACUGGAGUAGGGUGUGUGUGUGUUUGUUUUGGUCAAGGGCAGAGUGUGCUGUGUCAGGGUGUUUCAUUGCAUUUUCAUAUUUGUCAUUUCUCUUUGGAGCGUGUCUUUUGGUGCCACGGAAAAGGGCUGGAUUUUCUAUCGGGUACAAUAGGUACCUGCAGGGCUUAGGGUACAAGAGCUUGUCGGGGACCUGCACACAUGUUUGAGACCUGUAAAAAUAUUGCUGGCUCUGAAUUAUGGAAAGAAAAUCGCAAAGUUAAAAUCUAUCAAAGUAUAAUUAAAUACCUACAAAACAUAAUAUUAUGUCACUAGUCAACCGCAACACAAAUCUUAUAUCAUUAGAUUUCAGUGAUAUUGAAUGUGGGAGAUGGAACCAUUUUAGUGCAUUUGAUAUGAUGUGAUGUGGCUUUCUCCAAGCCUGAGAGUGCCUGAAACCCAGAGAGGUCGUACGUUGACCAUGCCACGGGGCCCUUCCUGGUAAAUCUAAGCAGAAAUACACCAUGCAUGAGACAGAACAAAGAAAAGAACUGUGAAAAUACACUCAGGACCAGGAUGCUGAUACAGUCAUGAGGUUCAGCUUAAAAGGCCAGUUUCUCUACUGCAGAAUAAUGAGGUCUAUCCUGUUUUGCUUUCUUUCAAAGCCCUUACCAUUUAUGAAACCAGAUUGCAAGUCUGUUUGAAUCCCCCAAAUGCCUGUGCUACAUAACUGUCUCCUUACUCUGUGCUCUUGCCCCAGGCAGAGUGGAAGUUGCCUUAUAAAGCUGCGACUUGGCCACAGUGUUUUCCCUUUCAGCAGGGAAACCGGAGUUCUCCCUGCUGUUGGGAGGUUCAAGAGCCACUCUGUGCAGAAAUGCCCAGAAAGAGUUAAGUGAGAUGCUCUGGGGUCACUACCAACCUUGCCUUUCACCCUACCUGUGGAUCUAUGACCCUGUCCUUCUCAGAACACCACUCAGUACUUCUGGGUUCCCCAAGAGGUGCCUCUUGAGAGUUUGUAGGAAACUGUGCUUUAGUAACUCAUGGUUUCUGCCCUCAGCUUCUCUUGCAUGGGGCCUUCCUGCUUGCUCCUCUGCUCACAAUGACAAGUGAGGACUCCCCUCCAUGCCUUUUGAUGCUGGUGCCCAUCACCCCGAUCACAUGAACGUCUAUGCCCAGGUCCCAUUUCCUGACAUUCCCAACAUCUCUACCUUCUCCGGGCCUAGGGCAGGGAUCACUCUUUCAGAAACAUGAGCGUAUGGAAGCCCCAGUGUGUUCCUUGAAGUCCCGAUGCGUGAUUUGUCCCCAUGCUGUGUCGCACUUGGUCAUCUGGACCCUGGGGUUGCCUGAGUGUCCCUGUUACAAGGCCCCUCCUGAAACCAGAUUGGUGUCUAUGAGGGUCAUCUGGGAAACCUACCUCUGGCAGAAUCGCUGUCCUGCCAGUUUCCUCUCCCCCUUACAAGGGACAUUUAUGCUUUCUCCCUCUACAAAACCUGCAUGCAAAUUAUCUGAUGGAAUUGACCCAUAGUGGGUGUUCUCCACUGGUUCAACACACCUGAAUUCCGGAUUCAAGAUGCAAUCACCACUACUGUUGUUGUGUAAGUAUUGCUAGAGAUGGCUGCAGAAUACCUGGGAAAGCUAGCUAAGCAGUGACUGGAGGAAGGCCCCAGCUCUUUGGAACGAACUUUCCAGCCGAGAAUGCUUUCCAAAAUGGGAACAAGAUCCCAACCCCUUAUCAGAAACUUUGGGGGCCGGAUGUGUUUCAGAAUUCAGAAGUUUUCAAAUUUUAAGAAGAGAAUACACUGCGUAUUCUGUGUAUUACAGGGGUCAGCAAAUUCACAGCCCAUAGGCCAAAUCUGGCCUGUUUUUGUAAAUAAAGUUUUAUUGCUAUA
rnacentral:lncRNA from 1 species